rnacentral:lncRNA from 10 species
CUGAGUAGCUGAGAUUACAGGCAUGCGCCACCACGCCUGGCUAAUUUUGUAUUUUUAGUAGAGACGAGGUUUCUCCAUGUUGGUCAGGCUGGUCUCGAACUCCCGACCUCCGGUGAUCCGCCCGCCUCGACGUCCCAAACUGCUGGGAUUACAGGCGUGAACCACCGCGCCCGGCUCAGGAGAUUUCCUACAGCUCAAAAUUUGUAAGGCAAAGAGAUGGCCACAAACCUUGUGAGAGUGGAUGGGGAGCGACCUCGGCUCUCUUAGUCCCGCCUGGCCCACUAGACACUGCACUGCAUGGUAGAGGCCCCGCCCGACCCAGCCCCUUAAUCGGCCUGUUGCAAUCACUAUCAACCCGCCAAUUCUGGCCCCGCCCCUGUCUUCCGGGUUCACCCUCUCACUUCCUGCGGGUCCCAGGCUCAGGCCCCUCCUCCGCCUUGUUUGGAGCAAUCCAAUCGAACCUGGAGGGCUCCGCUCCGCCCUAUGCCGCGCUCCCCUCCUCCACGAGCAAUGAGAAUCAGCUCAGGCCCCGCCCC